UACGGACACAUCACGUCGAAACGCUGGUUCCCGUACGAUCACCGAAGUUAAGUAACGUCGAGCCUGGUCAGUGCCUUGAUAGGAAACCGCUUGGGAAUACUAGGUUCUGUAA